rnacentral:rRNA from 1 species
UACGUAGGGUGCGAGCGUUAAUCGGAAUUACUGGGCAUAAAGCGUGCGCAGGCGGUUUGUUAAGUCUGCUGUGAAAGCCCCGGGCUCAACCUGGGAAUGGCAGUGGAAACUAGCAAGCUAGAGUGUGGCAGAGGGGGGUGGAAUUCCACGUGUAGCAGUGAAAUGCGUAGAGAUGUGGAGGAACACCAAUGGCGAAGGCAGCCCCCUGGGUUAACACUGACGCUCAGGCACGAAAGCGUGGGGAGCAAACAGG